rnacentral:rRNA from 1 species
GUGGGGAAUAUUGCGCAAUGGGGGAAACCCUGACGCAGCAAUACCGCGUGAGUGAAGAAGGUUUUCGGAUCGUAAAACUCUUUUAUUGGGGAAGAAGAAGUGACGGUACCCAAUGAAGAAGUCCCGGCUAACUACGUGCCAGCAGCCGCGGUAAUACGUAGGGGACAAGCGUUGUCCGGAAUCACUGGGCGUAAAGGGCGCGUAGGCGGUUUUAUAAGUCAGAUGUGAAAGGUACCGGCUCAACCGGUGACGUGCAUUUGAAACUGUAAGACUUGAGUACUGGAGAGGCAAGUGGAAUUCCUAGUGUAGCGGUGAAAUGCGUAGAUAUUAGGAGGAACACCGGUGGCGAAGGCGGCUUGCUGGACAGAUACUGACGCUGAGGUGCGAAAGCGUGGGGAGCGAACAGGAUUAGAUACCCCGGUAGUCC